AAAUAAAGAACAUUUCCAUCACCCCAAAAGUUCUGUCAGCCCCUUUCAGUCAGUUUCUACCUUCAAUGUUUAAGUCAUUGGCCAUUGAUGCUUAACUCAGUCUCCAGCUUCUCUCCCCUCCGCAGAAGACUAGGGUAAGGCUGAAAGUUCCAACCAUCUAAUUACAUGGUUGGUCCUUCCAGCAACCAACUCCCAUCCUAAAGCUAUGUAGAGGCCCACUGAGACUCACCUUAUUAGCAGAAAGUCAGGCACGAUUGAAAGAGGCUUGUUUCAAAUAGCAAAGGACAGUCCUGUUACGGCUGUCACUCAGGAAGUUCCAAGGUUUUGUUUUUGUUUUGAG
rnacentral:lncRNA from 1 species